AUUGAACGCUGGCGGCAGGCCUAACACAUGCAAGUCGAGCGGAAGAAGGUAGUUUGCUCCGUGGUUCGGCGGCAGACGGGUGGGUAAUGCCUGAGUAUCUGGCUGGUAAUGUGGGAUAACGUCCGGAAACGGGCGCUGAUACCGCAUAUGUUCUGAGGGAGGAAGGGGGGGAGCUUCGGAUCUUGGGCUAUCAUAUUAUCCUAGGUCGGGUUGGCUAGGUGGUGGGUUAAAGGCCUACCGGGGCGACGAUCCGUAACUGCGCUGAGCGGAUGAUGAGUCACACUGGAACUGAGACACGGUCCAGACUCCUACGGGAGGCAGCAGUGGGGAAUAUUGGACAAUGGGCGAAAGCCUGAUCCAGCCGUAGCGAGUGUGUGAAGAAGGUCUUCGGAUUGUAAAGCUCUUCUCGUUGGGAGGAAGGGCAGUAAGUUAAUACCUUGCUGUUUUGACGUUACCAAAAGAAUAAGCACCGGCUAACUUCGUG
rnacentral:rRNA from 1 species